rnacentral:snRNA from 1 species
GUGCUCACUUUGGCAGCACAAAUACUAAAGUUGGAACAAAACAGAGAAGAUUAGCAUGGCCCCUGAGCAGGAAUGACAUGCACAUUUGUGAAGCAAUCCGUAUUUUG